rnacentral:rRNA from 1 species
UGGGGAAUAUUGCACAAUGGGCGAAAGCCUGAUGCAGCAACGCCGCGUGAGUGAUGAAGGCCUUCGGGUUGUAAAGCUCUGUCUUUUGGGACGAUAAUGACGGUACCAAAGGAGGAAGCCACGGCUAACUACGUGCCAGCAGCCGCGGUAAUACGUAGGUGGCAAGCGUUGUCCGGAUUUACUGGGCGUAAAGGAUGCGUAGGCGGAUUUUUAAGUGAGAUGUGAAAACCCUAAGCUUAACUUGGGGACUGCAUUUCAUACUGGAAAUCUAGAGUGCGGGAGAGGAGAAUGGAAUUCCUAGUGUAGCGGUGAAAUGCGUAGAGAUUAGGAAGAACACCAGUGGCGAAGGCGAUUCUCUGGACCGUAACUGACGCUGAGGCAUGAAAAGCGUGGGUAGCAAACAGGAUUAGAUACCCUGGUAGUCCACGCCGUAAACGAUGAGUACUAGGUGUAGGAGGUAUCGACCCCUUCUGUGCCGCAGUUAACACAAUAAGUACUCCGCCUGGGAAGUACGAUCGCAAGAUUAAAAAC